rnacentral:rRNA from 1 species
AUUGAACGCUGGCGGCAGGCCUAACACAUGCAAGUCGAACGGUAACAGGAAGAAGCUUGCUUCUUUGCUGACGAGUGGCGGACGGGUGAGUAAUGUCUGGGAAACUGCCUGAUGGAGGGGGAUAACUACUGGAAACGGUAGCUAAUACCGCAUAACGUCGCAAGACCAAAGAGGGGGACCUUCGGGCCUCUUGCCAUCGGAUGUGCCCAGAUGGGACUUAGGUAGUAGGUGGGGUAACGGCUCACCUAGGCGACGAUCCCUAGCUGAUCUGAGAGAAUGACCGGCCACAUUGGAGCGGAGACACGGUCGUGACGCCUACGGGCGGCGGCAGUGUGGAAUAUUGAAGAAUGGGGGCAAUACUGAUGAAGGCAUGCCGUGUGUAUGAAGAAGGCCUUCGUGUUGUAAAGUACUUUCAGCGGGGAGGAAGGGAGUAAAGUUAAUACCUUGGCUCAUUGACGUUACCCGCAGAUGAAGGACCGGCUAACUCCGUGCCAGCCGCCGCAGUAA